rnacentral:rRNA from 1 species
GUGGGGAAUUUUGGACAAUGGGCGAAAGCCUGAUCCAGCCAUGCCGCGUGCAGGAUGAAGGCCUUCGGGUUGUAAACUGCUUUUGUACGGAACGAAAAGACUCUGGUUAAUACCUGGGGUCCAUGACGGUACCGUAAGAAUAAGCACCGGCUAACUACGUGCCAGCAGCCGCGGUAAUACGUAGGGUGCAAGCGUUAAUCGGAAUUACUGGGCGUAAAGCGUGCGCAGGCGGUUAUAUAAGACAGAUGUGAAAUCCCCGGGCUCAACCUGGGAACUGCAUUUGUGACUGUAUAGCUAGAGUACGGCAGAGGGGGAUGGAAGUCCGCGUGUAGCAGUGAAAUGCGUAGAUAUGCGGAGGAACACCGAUGGCGAAGGCAAUCCCCUGGGCCUGUACUGACGCUCAUGUACGAAAGCGUGGGGAGCAAACAGGAUUAGAUACCCGGGUAGUCC